GUUAAGAUGGCAGAUCAGUGCAUAAAAUUUAAGCUUUUAUCAGAGAAUAUAAAUUCUUCUUAAUA
rnacentral:tRNA from 1 species